GAGGAUAGUCAAUAAGAUUCCAAUUUAGCUCCAAAUAGCAAUGUGAAGUCCAACUAUAAGCUUGGUGAAGACCAAUUAUAAAUGCCAAUUGAUAGAUCAAAUCUUCACCCAUAUGAAUGGAGAACCACUUCUUGAUCAAGUGCACUAUCUUGUUGUGGUUGGCUUGCUUUUUCUUUUGACCAUUGCUUGCAUGAGAGAACUA
rnacentral:lncRNA from 1 species